CUAUAGCACAUAUACAUACUAUAUACAUAUAGUUCAUGGUUGUCACUGUUUAUAUUUUAUAGAUUCAUAAGAUGAAAGAUCUUCAAAAUAAAAAACACUGUUUCAAAGGGCUGUAUGGACUAAAGUCCUUUGUCUUUCCCAUUAGGGAUAAAUUAAUAUUUAAUAUCAUCAUCAACAUUGUUUCAAAGUUUAUAGUUGAAUGUUUUAAAAAAUAAUCAUGCUAAUAAUUUUGUUAGAAUGUAAUCACAAAUGAAAAUAAAAUUGGGACAAGCAAUGGUUUAAGAAGCGUGACCCAAUUGGAGUAAAUGGAAUGGUAGAAAUUAACAUAAAAGGCCUAACUCUUAUUGUAAAGACAUGAAAGUCUUUAUCACUUUUUUAAUUGCAAAUAUAGUACAUCUUAGUCCACCAAGUACAAGAAAAUUGUGAGGGAGUACAAGUACACUUUGCAAGAAGAGGGUCAACCCGAACCUUUGGUUUCCACCCCAAGCAAUGUUACUGUGAAAUGUCAGUAAACUUUUACCAUAAAUUUAGUAAAGAUCAAAGUUUUAUUUAAUAUUUUACAAUAAAUAUUCUUCUUUGCAAGUUUGAUUGUAGGAAAAGUAAACUAAAUAAAAUCAAAAUUUUCUUGCAAAGUUUUCAUUCUUGUAUAAAGUAAAAUUAUGAUAACUAAUUAUUAUGUAAUUUUGUUACAUUGAAUUAAAUCUUGAAUCAAAAUUUGGCUGUAUAUCUAAGUCAAAGUCAAAUCAUUUAUUUCAAUUAGACCACCUAAAAUGGCACUUUUGAACGUCAAACAAAAUACAAAGAAGAUUCUUCUUGCCCCUUCCAAAAGGUAGUUUCGUGUGGAGAAGAAUGGGCAAGAAACUCCAUACUUACUCUUUUAAAAUAGGUUUGAAAUAAUUUAUAUCUAGCUUUUGACUACUCGACACAAGUCAUUCUCUAGGACUUAACCUUUUUGAGUAAUACUAAUCAAAUAUAAGUAAGGUCCUAACUACCUUAAGACAACAGACCACAAUGUUGAUAUAAAAAUGAAUUGAAUAAACUGUAAUCAUAUUCUA